rnacentral:rRNA from 1 species
ACGAUGAAGAGUUUGAUCCUGGCUCAGGAUGAACGCUAGCGGCAGGCCUAACACAUGCAAGUCGAGGGGUAACAUAGAGUGCUUGCACUUUGAUGACGACCGGCGCACGGGUGAGUAACGCGUAUACAAUCUGCCUCAUACUAGGGGAUAGCCCAGAGAAAUUUGGAUUAAUACCCUAUAGUAUCAUUUAGAGUCAUCUCUUUAUGAUUAAAGGUUACGGUAUGAGAUGAGUAUGCGUUCUAUUAGUUAGUAGGUGAGGUAACGGCUCACCUAGACCACGAUAGAUAGGGGCCCUGAGAGGGGGAUCCCCCACACUGGUACUGAGACACGGACCAGACUCCUACGGGAGGCAGCAGUGAGGAAUAUUAGACAAUGGGCGAAAGCCUGAUCUAGCCAUGCCGCGUGCAGGAUGACGGCCCUAUGGGUUGUAAACUGCUUUUAUACAGGAAGAAAAAACUCUACGUGUAGAGUCUUGACGGUACUGUAAGAAUAAGGAUCGGCUAACUCCGUGCCAGCAGCCGCGGUAAUACGGAGGAUCCAAGCGUUAUCCGGAAUUAUUGGGUUUAAAGGGUCCGUAGGUGGACAAUUAAGUCAGAGGUGAAAUCCUGCAGCUCAACUGUAGAAUUGCCUUUGAAACUGGUUGUCUUGAGUCAUUAUGAAGUGGUUAGAAUGUGUAGUGUAGCGGUGAAAUGCAUAGAUAUUACACAGAAUACCAAUUGCGAAGGCAGAUCACUAAUAAUGUACUGACACUGAUGGACGAAAGCGUGGGUAGCGAACAGGAUUAGAUACCCUGGUAGUCCACGCCGUAAACGAUGGUCACUAGCUGUUCGGACUUCGGUCUGAGUGGCUAAGCGAAAGUGAUAAGUGACCCACCUGGGGAGUACGUUCGCAAGAAUGAAACUCAAAGGAAUUGACGGGGGCCCGCACAAGCGGUGGAGCAUGUGGUUUAAUUCGAUGAUACGCGAGGAACCUUACCAGGGCUUAAAUGUAGAGUGACAGGUCUAGAGAUAGAUUUUUCUUCGGACACUUUACAAGGUGCUGCAUGGUUGUCGUCAGCUCGUGCCGUGAGGUGUCAGGUUAAGUCCUAUAACGAGCGCAACCCCUGUUGUUAGUUGCCAGCGAGUAAUGUCGGGAACUCUAGCAAGACUGCCAGUGCAAACUGUGAGGAAGGUGGGGAUGACGUCAAAUCAUCACGGCCCUUACGUCCUGGGCUACACACGUGCUACAAUGGUAGGUACAGAGAGCAGCCAAUGCGUGAGCAUGAGCGAAUCUACAAAACCUAUCUCAGUUCGGAUCGGAGUCUGCAACUCGACUCCGUGAAGCUGGAAUCGCUAGUAAUCGGAUAUCAGCCAUGAUCCGGUGAAUACGUUCCCGGGCCUUGUACACACCGCCCGUCAAGCCAUGGAAGUUGGGAGUGCCUGAAGUCCGUCACCGCAAGGAGCGGCCUAGGGUAAAAUCGAUAACUAGGGCUAAGUCGUAACAAGGUAGCCGUACCGGAAGGUGCGGCUGGAACACCUCCUUU